GAUGAAGAACGUAGCGAAAUGCGAUAAGUAAUGUGAAUUGCAGAAUUCAGUGAAUCAUCGAAUCUUUGAACGCACAUUGCGCCCGCCAGCAUUCUGGCGGGCAUGCCUGUUCGAGCGUCAUUUCAACCCUCGAGCCCCCCCGGGGGCCUCGGUGUUGGGGGACGGCACACCAGCCGCCCCCGAAAUGCAGUGGCGACCCCGCCGCAGCCUCCCCUGCGUAGUAGCACACACCUCGCACCGGAGCGCGGAGGCGGUCACGCCGUAAAACGCCCAACUUUCUUAGAGUUGACCUCGGAUCAGGUAGGAAUACCCGCUGAACUUAAGCAUAUCAAUAAGCGGGAGGA
rnacentral:misc_RNA from 1 species